UUUUUAUAGAAUUUUAUUUUUUAGUCAAAAAGCUAAAAUAAAUUUAAAAGACGAGAAGACCCUAUAAAUCUUUAUAUUUUAUUUAUUUUAAUUAUAAAGAUUAUUUUUAUUAUAAUAAAUUAAAAUAUUUUAUUGGGGUGAUAUUAAAAUUUAAAAACUUUUAAUUUUGAAAACCAUUAAUUUAUGAAUAAAUGAUCCAUUAAUAAUGAUUAAAAAUUUAAGUUACUUUAGGGAUAACAGCGUAAUUUUUUU
rnacentral:rRNA from 1 species